UUUUAAUAGAUUUUGGAUUCUUAUAAAAGUGUGACAAUCCACAUUCAUUCAAAAUACAUUUAAUACAACUAAGCCAACAUUGUUGGUUAUUAUCUAUCAUAGUAAUAGUUUCAGCUAAUGCUUCUGACAGUAAAGCAUCUUUAGGUUUAUCAUUAUAUAAUCUUAUCCAGUACUUAACCAUUGACAUAAUAGUAUCAAUAUAUAAUGGAAAACGGCCUAGCUCACCAUACAAUGCCAGUUUACAUGUUUUUCUAUUUACUUUCAGCAAAUAUCUGCACAUAUUGAGAUUUAUCUUUUCAAUUGGUACAGUAUUAAAAAUCUGGUCAAAUAUAUUUUCACUGUUAUAUUUAUUACAUUUUC
rnacentral:lncRNA from 1 species